CCAUUGGGGGAGGGCUGUUGAACACACACACACACACACACACACACACAUACACACAUAGACUGAACAGAAUGAACGCAUACAUACAGCUCAUGCUGAAAGACUAGCCAAUCUGCUGUGAUCAGUAAUGGAGGGAGUUUUGGAGGGAGCACUCACUCUGUGCCUGUGCAAACUGAUGUGCAGUGUUCUCUUUCUGCCUGCAGUCAGAGGCUCCAUGUCAUCAGUCAGUUUGUGCUGCAACUGCCUUUUAAUAUUCACUGACCUUGCCAUUACCAUCUUUCUUGCCCUUCUCUGGUUGGACGUUCCUUGGCUGACACCUUUGCCUGUACCUUCUGAUGUCGUCUGCCUUCGCUUCACGCUCUUCUU